UACGGGAGGCAGCAGUGAGGAAUAUUGGUCAAUGGGCGAGAGCCUGAACCAGCCAAGUAGCGUGAAGGAUGACUGCCCUAUGGGUUGUAAACUUCUUUUAUAAAGGAAUAAAGUCGGGUAUGGAUACCCGUUUGCAUGUACUUUAUGAAUAAGGAUCGGCUAACUCCGUGCCAGCAGCCGCGGUAAUACGGAGGAUCCGAGCGUUAUCCGGAUUUAUUGGGUUUAAAGGGAGCGUAGAUGGAUGUUUAAGUCAGUUGUGAAAGUUUGCGGCUCAACCGUAAAAUUGCAGUUGAUACUGGAUAUCUUGAGUGCAGUUGAGGCAGGCGGAAUUCGUGGUGUAGCGGUGAAAUGCUUAGAUAUCACGAAGAACUCCAA
rnacentral:rRNA from 1 species